rnacentral:RNase_P_RNA from 1 species
GCUUGCAAGCAUGCAAUCGCCCCGUCACGCUGUUAGCGUGACGGGGAGGAAAGUCCGAACUCCACAAGGCAGAGUACCUCCUAACAGAAGGGUGUCCUUCAUGUAAAUGCAGGACAAUGGAACGUGUCACAGAAAAAAUACCGCCUGAGGUUGCGCAGUCUGCGACUAACUUCUUCAGGUAAGGGUGAAAAGGCGAGGUAAGAGCUCACCGGUGACGCUGUAAGGCGUCAGCCUGACAAACCCUGCUCGGAGCAAGACCAAAUAAGUCCCGUUGCUGAAACUCGAAAGAGUUCCGGAAUGUGUCGCCUGCACAUGCACAGGUCGCUUCCGUGCGGCUUGUGAGGCGGGAUGGGUAGGUUGCUUGAGCCCGUUUGUGAAAACGGGACCAGAGAAAUGAUUGCAUCCCGUUCCGGUUUUCGGAGCGGGUAACAGAAUUCGGCUUAUCGCUUGCAAGCUUGA